rnacentral:lncRNA from 1 species
AGAAGAAAUCUUCCUUUGAGGGCAGUGAUACACUUAUGUGAGAUUUUGAAAAGUGAAAAAUCAAAGGUGGAAUUGACCAGUAGAUGUAAAAGUACAACAAAUAAACAAAAAUGGCAAUGUUGAAAGUGAAACUGAAAUUCAACAGAAAUAAAAGAAAUAGCAGACUGGGGGGAUAUUGACUUUGACACCAUGAUGCCAGAGGAACUUAGUGAUGGCAAACUUAUCAAUAUAAAAUGAGGAUAUUGGUUGUCAACUAGGUUGUGUGGUGGUCCUUGAUCUUGUCCAUCAAGUCCUUUUUCCCAAAGGAUAACUGAAGAAGAUCACAUACAUUCCAACUUAUUGAGUCUGAUAGGUAUUCAUCUGAUGAGCUCCUCUUCAACUGAGGAUUGAAAUGCUGUUUUUCUUCCCUGGUACAAUGUUAAAGCUUUAAACUCUUGUCAAUGAUGUGAUGUUUCAUCUGCAAUGAUCUACACUAGAAAAAUAAAAAUGUAGUUACUGACAAAAAAGCAGGCAGAUUUAUAAAGGAAGCUGCUGGAAGGAAUUCAUUCCCUUUUUGCUGUUCUGCCUUCCACCUUCCACUGUGUGAGGACACUGCAAGAAAGCCCUCAUCAGACACCAACUGCCAGCACCUAGAUCUUGGAAUUCUCAGCCUCCAGAACUGUGAGAAACACGUUUCUGUUUUUCUAUAAAAUAAUAAUAAUAAAAAACUUCCAUGCAGGAAAAAAAAUCAAGUUCAAAGGUCCUGUGGUGAGGGCAUACCAGCUUUGUUUGAGAAGCAGUAAUCAUGCCUGUGUGACUGUAAUGAAAGAAUAAAAGAGAAA